rnacentral:tRNA from 1 species
GGUUCCAUGGUGCAACGGUCAGCACUCUGGACUUUGAAUCCAGCAAUCUGAGGUCAAAUCUAGGUGGAAUCU